CACACUGGACUGAGACACGGUCCAGACUCCUACGGGAGGCAGCAGUGGGGAAUAUUGCACAAUGGGCGCAAGCCUGAUGCAGCCAUGCCGCGUGUGUGAAGAAGGCCUUCGGGUUGUAAAGCACUUUCAGUCGUGAGGAAGGUAGUGUAGUUAAUAGCUGCAUUAUUUGACGUUAGCGACAGAAGAAGCACCGGCUAACUCCGUGCCAGCAGCCGCGGUAAUACGGAGGGUGCGAGCGUUAAUCGGAAUUACUGGGCGUAAAGCGCAUGCAGGUGGUUUGUUAAGUCAGAUGUGAAAGCCCGGGGCUCAACCUCGGAAUAGCAUUUGAAACUGGCAGACUAGAGUACUGUAGAGGGGGGUAGAAUUUCAGGUGUAGCGGUGAAAUGCGUAGAGAUCUGAAGGAAUACCGGUGGCGAAGGCGGCCCCCUGGACAGAUACUGACACUCAGAUGC
rnacentral:rRNA from 2 species